AAGUCGUAACAAGGUUUCCGUAGGUGAACCUGCGGAAGGAUCAUUAACGAAUUUAUAACAAUUCAUCCAAUGUUAAAAUGUCUAUUAUAUCUAUAAACUAAAAUACAAAAUUUAUAAAAUUAUACAACUUUUAACGGUGGAUCUCUUGGUUCCU
rnacentral:misc_RNA from 1 species